rnacentral:lncRNA from 1 species
GAUAUCACACGAAGUAUGGAAAACUUUGCAGGAAAUAACCCUUCAAAUUUUGAGGAAGUGGCUCCUUAAACACCAUGGUGAUUCCUUGCCAGUAAAACUAUGACUGACACUUGAAUGCUAAGGAUGCUCAAACAAUGUAAUCAAUGUAAGCUGGUGCACAGAACUUUGCAGCAUCAUCUGCCAUCCAUUUCAUCUCCAGUGCAGUGCAUUUCCUUUGAUCAAAGGGUUUCCAGUGGAAACAUAUUCAGCAAUGUCCAGUAAGAAAGACUUGAGCUGCCAGUGUAGUUCCCAUGGAGAAAGCUUGAGUCUCAAUGCAACAAUACAGACUACCUGGGGGGGAGGGGGGGGAUAAAUUUUCCUAAACUGUUAUUCCUACGCUCUAUCUAGCUGUGUGUAUUUGGCAAGCCGAGAUAUUUUCAGAGCCUUUGUGUCUUUGUCAGGAAGGGGAAAGAUGGGUGGGACUUAGAAUGUAUACCAUAAGAAUGAGAGAACCUGUGCAACUG